AUGGCUGUAGUACCAACCCACUCCUGCUCUGGGCUCCCUGGACUCUGCUUCUCCCGUGUCCUCCUUGCCUUCUGGUGCACCUUUGUGGGCAGCGGCUCUGCUUUGACGGUGACCCAGACUCCAAGCUUUGUCAGUGACUCGACAGGGCAAAAUAUUUCCUUCGAGUGCUCAGUUGAUAACAAAGACUAUCAUUUCUAUUGGUAUCGACAACUGCCUGGGAAGACACAGCUUGAAGUCCUUGGAUCGCUCUUUACUUAUAGUGCAGAACUUGAAGAUAUUCCAUCUGAACUGAAGGCUCGGCUGAAAGGAAAGGGUUCCAAGUCUGACAACUCGCGGAAAAUGAGUUUGGAUUUGUUUAAACUUCAGGCGAAUGACACAGGCUUGUAUCUGUGUGCUGCGGUGUACACAGUGAAAGAGAAAGGAACCGUGGCAGGUGCAAAACUGAGCAUCAGGAACAAAUCUGCCCUCUACUCUUUUCUACUCAUAUCCAUCUUUUACUGA